AUGGCUCUUUUCCCUCCCCAGGGUGAGCGGGGAACCCCUGGGUCUGAUGGUCGGAACGGACUGGAUGGGAAGCCAGGAGCAAUAGGACCCCCUGGCCUGAGGGGUGACACGGGAAAAACUGGGGAGCCUGGAAGAGAUGGACUCCCAGGUUUGAGAGGAGAACAUGGACCCCCUGGACCUCCUGGGCUUCCUGGAGUGACUGUAAGUCUUGCUGGCCUGAGGCCUCAUCCUUUCUUCUUGUUCCAUCCAGUACUGGAUUCCUUCCCUUCCCCCUCACCUAUUUUGGGCUUAUUUUGGGACUUUAUUUAUUUAUUUAAAAAAUCCUUUCCUUCCAUCUUAGAAGUAAUACUGUGCACUGGCUCCAAGGCAGAAGAUGGGAGUUAAGUGACUUGUCCAGGGUCACACAGCUAGGAAGUAUCUGAGGUCAUAUUUGAACCCAGAACCUCCCAUCUCUGGCCCUGGCUUUCAGUCCACAGAGCCACCCAGCUACCCCCAAUCUUGGAAUUUUUAAGCCGAGUGGGGUGAUUGUUAAAAGUUAUAACUCUGAUCUUGACUCUUGAGGGACUCCUGACCUUAAUCUCUGAUGUUUUCUGACUCUGUUCUGAUAGGGGAAGCCUGGAGAUGAUGGCAAACCAGGGCUGAAUGGGAAAAAUGUGAGUCUGGAGUGGGGCUGGAAGGGGGAUUCCUGGCCCCCAAAUGGUCCAUAAUCACAUACGUAUGGACAGUCAUACUGGACAUGUGGUCAGAUGGACACAUAUGGUCACACUCAAUCAUUCCACAUGCGUGUAUUCUAUGAUAACACAACUCUAGGCCUUGGGGAUGGGGAGCUAAUAUUCUGCCCUGAGGGUGCGCCUUCUUUCUCCACUCAGGGAGAACCUGGAGACCCUGGAGAAGAUGGGAGGAAGGUAAAGAGCCCUCCCCCUCCCCCCUGCAUCUGGAACCAGCCCUAAUAAUUCUCCUUCUCCCAACUCCCAUUCUCACUCAGUGGGGCCUGGGCCUGGGCCAACUCUGAGAUGUCUGUCUCUGUUAGGGUGACAAGGGCGAAGCUGGAUCCCCUGGAAGAGAUGUGAGUGGGCCCUCCUUUGAGAUUCCUCCUGGUACAUGAUCCUUGUCCCCACCCCCAGGCUCUCCAUGUAGGAGCCCUCAAUCUCUCCCCAUAACCCUGGCUGCUUCUGCCUUGCCCUGGGAUAUAGAGUCCCUUGAAUAGGGCCUUUCAGGAUCCAUCAUUUCUCGGGACGGGGAGGACACAUGGUGGUGAGGGGGGAGUCCCGGAGGACAGAAAGGACUGUCAGUGAUAUGUACUUUGAUCUUUCCAGGGUCGGGAUGGUUCCAAAGGUGAUCGUGGGGAUGUAGGCACCCCAGGACUACAGGGACCCCCAGGACU
rnacentral:lncRNA from 1 species